rnacentral:tRNA from 1 species
GUUGGUUGUGUGUUGUAGCUUUGUGUUAAAAUUUUGUGUUGGGGUUGAUCGAUUAUGGUCAUUCGAUA